GAUUUGAAAAUAUUUCUCUCAUCAGAUCGUAUAUAUCCGUAUUAUUAUUGGACGUUGUCGGCAUUUCGGUGGGGAAAAUCGAUUUUCCGACUUGAUGUCGGCAUUGUAUGAAUAUCGGAGAACACAGGCAAAAGCCUACGGAUUUUAGCUCAUUAUGUCGGUCAGCCGUUUCGACGGUAUAACGUGGUUUUUUUGUUUAACAAGAGUUUUUAUCGAAGUUUUGAGAGUUUUACGUUCGAAAAUUACGCGUGUAUUUUAUUAUUAAGAAUUAUUGUUAUUAUUCUGCAGUGUAUACUCACGACACGUUACAAUAAAGUAUAUACAUAGUUUCGCAAUUUUUCGAAAUUUGGUAACGCGGUUAGCGGUAUAAUCGGGUCAAACGUUUUAAUCAUUUACUA